rnacentral:rRNA from 1 species
UGGGAAUAUUGCACAAUGGGCGAAAGGCCUGAUGCAGCAACGCCCGCGUGAGUGAUGAAAGGCCCUUCGGGGUUGGUAAAAGCUCUGUCUUUUUGGGACGAUAAAUGACGGUACCCAAAGGAGGAAGCCACGGCUAACUACGUGCCAGCAGCCGCGGUAAUACGUAGGUGGCAAGCGUUGUCCGGAUUUACUGGGCGUAAAGGAUGCGUAGGCGGAUUUUUAAGUGAGAUGUGAAAACCCUAAGCUUAACUUGGGGACUGCAUUUCAUACUGGAAAUCUAGAGUGCGGGAGAGGAGAAUGGAAUUCCUAGUGUAGCGGUGAAAUGCGUAGAGAUUAGGAAGAACACCAGUGGCGAAGGCGAUUCUCUGGACCGUAACUGACGCUGAGGCAUGAAAGCGUGGGUAGCAAACAGGAUUAGAUACCCUGGUAGUCCACGCCGUAAACGAUGAGUACUAGGUGUAGGAGGUAUCGACCCCUUCUGUGCCGCAGUUAACACAAUAAGUACUCCGCCUGGGAAGUACGAUCGCAAGAUUAAAAACUCAAAUGAAUUGACGGGGGUCAUAGCUGUUUUUCCU